rnacentral:rRNA from 1 species
UUGUUGCUGGUCUCCGUAUGGGGGCAUGUGCACGCUCUGUUUACACAUCCACUCACACCUGUGCACGCUCUGUAGUUCUAUGGCCUGGGUGGGCUCUGUCCUCCUGCUGUGGUUCUAUGUCUUUACACACACACUACAACAAAGUCUCAUGGAAUGUAUGUCGCGUUUAACGCAAUGGAAUACAACUUUCAGCAACGGAUCUCUUGGCUCUCGCAUCGAUGAARAACGCASCGAAAUGCGAUAAGUAAUGUGAAUUGCAGAAUUCAGUGAAUCAUCGAAUCUUUGAACGCACCUUGCGCCCUUUGGCUAUUCCGAAGGGCAUGCCUGUUUGAGUAUCAUGAACACCUCAACUCUCAUGGCUUGCCAUGAUGUGCUUGGACUUUGGGGGUCUUGUUGGCCUGUGAGCCAGCUCCUCUUAAAUGAAUCAGCUUGCCGGUGUUUGGUGGCGUCACAGGUGUGAUAACUAUCUACGCUUGUGGUUUCCCACCAGGGUAACCUUCAGCAAUGAAGGUUCACCGGAGCUUAUAAAUGUCUCUCCUCAGUGAGGACAGAUUUUGACCAUUUGAUCUCAAAUCAGGUAGGACUACCCGCUGAACUUAAGCAUAUCAAUAAGCGGAGGAAAARAAACUAACAAGGAUUCCCCUAGUAACUGCGAGUGAAGCGGGAARAGCUCAAAUUUAAAAUCUGGCGUGCCUCCGGCCGUCCGAGUUGUA